UAGCUCAGUUGGUAGAGUGCUUGCCUUGCAUGCAUAAGGCCCUGGGUUCAAUCCCUAG
rnacentral:tRNA from 1 species